AACGCACAUUGCGCCCUUCGGUAUUCCGUUGGGCAUGCCUGUUCGAGCGUCAUUUAAACCUUCAAGCUCUGCUUGGUGUUGGGCGUUUGUUCCGCCUCCGCGCGUGGACUCGCCUCAAAUCUAUUGGCAGCCGGUCAGUUGGCUUUCGCGCGCAGCACAUUGCGUAGCGGCUCCAGCUUGCCUCCUACCAUUAAGCUAUUCUACAUCUUUUGACCUCGGAUCAGGUAGGGAUACCCGCUGAACUUAA
rnacentral:misc_RNA from 1 species